AUGGACAUACCACCCUGAACACACCUGAUCUCAGAAGCUAAGCAGGGUUAGCCCCAGUUAGUACUUGGAUGAGAGAAAAGAAGUUUAAAAUUGGUCAAAAUUAUU
rnacentral:rRNA from 1 species